CCCUUAGAUGUUCUGGGCCGCACGCGCGCUACACUGAUGCAUUCAACAAGCCUAGCCUUGACCGAGAGGUCCGGGUAAACUUUGAAACUGCAUCGUGAUGGGGCUAGAUUAUUGCAAUUAUUAAUCUUCAACGAGGAAUGCCUAGUAAGCGUGAUUCAUCAAAUCGCGUUGAUUACGUCCCUGCCCUUUGUACACACCGCCCGUCGCUCCUACCGAUUGAAUGUGUUGGUGAGGAGCUCGGAUUGGCAGCAGUUGGUGGUUCGCCACCGGCUAUUGCUGAGAAGUCCUCCAAACCGCNCNAUUUAGNGGAAGGAGAANUCGUANCA
rnacentral:rRNA from 1 species